GGAGAGAUGUCCGAGUGGUUUAAGGAAGCAGUCUUGAAAACUGCCGUACAGCAACGUACCGUGGGUUCGAAUCCCACUCUCUCCGCCA
rnacentral:tRNA from 1 species